GAUGAACGCUGGCGGCGUGCCUAACACAUGCAAGUCGAGCGCGAUUUUGUGGAGUAGAGACUUCGGUUGAAGCAAAGCAAAUGAAAGCGGCGGACGGGUGAGUAACGCGUGAGCAACCUGCCCUUGACACAGGGAUAGCCACUGGAAACGGUGAUUAAUACCAGAUGAGACUACUACUUCGCAUGAAGAAGGGGUCAAAGUGAUAGCGGUCAAGGAUGGGCUCGCGUCUGAUUAGCUAGUUGGUGCGGUAACGGCUCACCAAGGCGACGAUCAGUAGCGGACCUGAGAGGGUGAACGGCCACACUGGAACUGAGACACGGUCCAGGCUCCUACGGGAGGCAGCAGUAAAGAAACUUUCACAAUGGGGGAAACCCUGGCGAAGCAACACCGCGUGGGCGAUGAAGGUCGAAAGAUCGUAAAGCCCUUUUCUGGGGGAAUAAUUUUGAAGGUACCCCAGGAAUAAGCACCGGCUAACUCUGUGCCAGCCGCCGCUGUAA
rnacentral:rRNA from 1 species